CAUAAACACAUCAGGUCAGAAGGGAAUGGGGUGAAAUAUACAAAGUCGUGCAAAGUAAGGGUCUGAAUCCAAGAAUACUGUACCCAGCAAGGCUAUCAAUCAAAAUUGAAGGGGAAAUCAGGAGCUUCACAGA